rnacentral:rRNA from 1 species
AAGGAAGAUUAAUACAAGAUGGCAUCAUGAGUCCACAUGUUCACAUGAUUAAAGGUAUUCCGGUAGACGAUGGGGAUGCGUUCCAUUAGAUAGUAGGCGGGGUAACGGCCCACCUAGUCUUCGAUGGAUAGGGGUUCUGAGAGGAAGGUCCCCCACAUUGGAACUGAGACACGGUCCAAACUCCUACGGGAGGCAGCAGUGAGGAAUAUUGGUCAAUGGGCGAGAGCCUGAACCAGCCAAGUAGCGUGAAGGAUGACUGCCCUAUGGGUUGUAAACUUCUUUUAUAAAGGAAUAAAGUCGGGUAUGCAUACCCGUUUGCAUGUACUUUAUGAAUAAGGAUCGGCUAACUCCGUGCCAGCAGCCGCGGUAAUACGGAGGAUCCGAGCGUUAUCCGGAUUUAUUGGGUUUAAAGGGAGCGUAGAUGGAUGUUUAAGUCAGUUGUGAAAGUUUGCGGCUCAACCGUAAAAUUGCAGUUGAUACUGGAUAUCUUGAGUGCAGUUGAGGCAGGCGGAAUUCGUGGUGUAGCGGUGAAAUGCUUAGAUAUCACGAAGAACUCCGAUUGCGAAGGCAGCCUGCUAAGCUGCAACUGACAUUGAGGCUCGAAAGUGUGGGUAUCAAACAGGAUUAGAUACCCUGGUAGUCCACACGGUAAACGAUGAAUACUCGCUGUUUGCGAUAUACAGCAAGCGGCCAAGCGAAAGCGUUAAGUAUUCCACCUGGGGAGUA